rnacentral:rRNA from 1 species
GAUGAACGCUGGCGGCGUGCCUAAUACAUGCCAGUCGAGCGAACAGACGAGGAGCUUGCUCCUCUGACGUUAGCGGCGGACGGGUGAGUAACACGUGGAUAACCUACCUAUAAGACUGGGAUAACUUCGGGAAACCGGAGCUAAUACCGGAUAAUAUAUUGAACCGCAUGGUUCAAUAGUGAAAGACGGUUUUGCUGUCACUUAUAGAUGGAUCCGCGCCGCAUUAGCUAGUUGGUAAGGUAACGGCUUACCAAGGCGACGAUGCGUAGCCGACCUGAGAGGGUGAUCGGCCACACUGGAACUGAGACACGGUCCAGACUCCUACGGGAGGCAGCAGUAGGGAAUCUUCCGCAAUGGGCGAAAGCCUGACGGAGCAACGCCGCGUGAGUGAUGAAGGUCUUCGGAUCGUAGAACUCUGUUAUUAGGGAAGAACAAAUGUGUAAGUAACUAUGCACGUCUUGACGGUACCUAAGCAGAAAGCCACGGCUAACUACGU